GGAGAAGCUAGUGAUACAGGCCGAGGAUUAGGCUGAGGAUUAGGGAGAAAGAGGGGCAAAUAAGGAGGAGGGUGGAAAUUGAAGGGCUCGAUGGUAAGAUAGGCACCGGGCCUGGGACCAUAGUGGUCUUUUUCAUAUUUAAAGGCUUCCUCAUCCAAUUCUGCCUCCGAGGCAGGAUCGAGGGGUUCGUCUGACAACUUCUUAUACAAAAUGGGGUAAAUUAUUUUUGGUCUAACAGUAGCACCUUUUCUAGAAUCUAAUGUAAUUUGGGAGAAAGAGGAGAAGGCAGGGAGUCCUUAGGGACCAGGGCAUCGAUAAUCGAUGACGGCCGAGACUGAUGAUUCGCCGGCGGCUUAGUUUCACUUUUGUGAGAUGGCGAUCAGGAGUUUUCUAAAAAAUCUUCAGUAAGGGCUAGGAGGCAGGCACCUUCUCUGCCCUCUUCUGCCUGUUUAAGGAGAUCUCUGACGAUUCCCCAAUAGCUAAAAAAGGACUCAGCGACAUCCUCUCCUUGUUUUUUUUUUUUUUUUUUUUUUUUAGUAUUUUUUAUUACAUAUUUUCCUCAAUUACAUUUCCAAUGCUAUAAGUGACCCUAAAAAUUCCACCAGAGAACUCCUAAACCUGAUAAACAGCUUCGGUGAAGUAGCUG
rnacentral:lncRNA from 1 species